ACGGAGGGGGUUAGCGUUGUUCGGAAUUACUGGGCGUAAAGCGCGCGUAGGCGGUAUUAGUUAGAGGGGAAAUCCCGGGGCUCAACCCCGGAACUGCCUUUAAUACUGGCAACUAUGAGUUCGAGAGAGGUGAGUGGAAUUCCGAGUGUAGAGGUGAAAUUCGUAGAUAUUCGGAGGAACACCAGUGGCGAAGGCGGCUCACUGGCUCGAUACUGACGCUGAGGUGCGAAAGUGUGGGGAGCAAACAGGAUUAGAUACCCCGCGUC
rnacentral:rRNA from 1 species